rnacentral:rRNA from 1 species
AACGAACGCUGGCGGCAUGCCUAACACAUGCAAGUCGAACGGGAUCCUAGCUUGCUAGGUGAGAGUGGCGGACGGGUGAGUAACACGUGGGAAUCUGCCUUUUGGUUCGGGAUAACCGCGGGAAACUGCGGCUAAUACCGAAUGCCCUCGAGAGAGGAAAGAUUUAUCGCCAGAAGAGGAGCCCGCGUCCGAUUAGGUAGUUGGUGGGGUAAAGGCCUACCAAGCCGACGAUCGGUAGCUGGUCUGAGAGGAUGAUCAGCCACACUGGGACUGAGAUACGGCCCAGACUCCUACGGGAGGCAGCAGUGGGGAAUAUUGGACAAUGGGGGCAACCCUGAUCCAGCAAUGCCGCGUGAGUGAUGAAGGCCUUAGGGUUGUAAAGCUCUUUUGCCAGGGAGAUGAUGACUGUACCUGGAGAAUAAGCCCGGCUAACUUCGUGCCAGC